GCAUUGGUGGUUCAACGGUAGAAGUCUCAUCUUCAUUCACAAGACCUGGGUUCAAUUCCCAGCCAGUGUA
rnacentral:tRNA from 1 species